rnacentral:sRNA from 1 species
AAGAGCGCCUGCGCAGGACACGCUGGACAAAUGCAUUGUUUUUGCUGCCUGCUGCUGCGGGAGGAGGCCUUAUGGGGGAAGGUCGCGAAGUGACUGGGAUUUUUUUUCUCAUUUGUCAUUUAGUGGGCUCCGUGGCUUAAGACUUGAACCAAGUAAACCAAGUUCUCUUACUGAGAAGUCUCAGUUUCAACUGUCAUUCUUCUCUACAGAAGAGCUUCUCCUCAUCAACUGGGGAUGAUUACAGUUCUUCCUAAAAAAGGAUGGCUGCUCUUUUUCUAAAGAGGUUAACACUACAAACUGUAAAGUCUGAAAAUAGUUGCAUUAGAUGUUUUGGUAAACACAUCGUGCAAAAGACAGCACCAACACAGUUGUCCCCUAUUGCUUCUGCCCCAAGACUCUCCUUCCUAAUUCAUGCAAAAGCCUUUAGUAACGCUGAAGACACCCAGAAUGAAGGAAAAAAGAAAAAAAAGAAUAAAACAGCUUUUAGUAACAUUGGAAGAAAAAUUAGUCAGCGAAUUAUUCACUUAUUUGAUGAGAAGGGCAAUGAUUUGGGAAACAUGCAUCGAGCAAAUGUGAUUAGACUUAUGGAUGAGCGACACCUGCGACUGGUUGAAAGGAACACCAGCACAGAACCUGCAGAGUACCAGCUCAUGACAGGACUGCAGAUCUUCCAGGAGCAGCAGAGGCUGAGGGAGAUGGAGAAGGCGAGCCCCAAAACUGGACCAACCGUAAGAAAGGAACUGAUUUUGUCUUCAAAUAUUGGACAACAUGAUUUGGACACAAAGACUAAACAGAUUCAGCAGUGGAUUAAGAAAAAACACCUAGUCCAGAUUACUAUAAAGAAAGGAAAAAAUGUAGACGUGUCAGAAAAUGAAAU